AGUACCUUGACAUUUUAAAGGGAACCAAAGUACUACUUGCCAUCAUGUAUAAAAGUUAAUCCAUAAUUUGAUUUGGAAAAAAUGUGUGUUGUUUGAUUAUCUUCAUCAUGGUACGUUCAAACUAUAUGAACCUAAAGUCAAUUCUGCAAGAAACUUACAAACAUAGAACACAAGGAGGGGUACAAGAUAAUGAAAAUUGAUCUAGCCAAAUUUGGAAAUACACAUACCUGUGUUUAUCAAACCCUCCCAGGAGUAUCUUCUUUCAAACCAAAUAAUUUUCAUACCGCAAGAGAUCACAAUAUCAACCUCUACCACGAGUGUAUCAAUACCGUUCGUUCUUUUCGAACCUGUUAAUCAUCAGACCCCAAGAGACCACAAUAUCAACCAGAAACUCAGUCAAUUGUCAGCAAAGCUAUGAGUAAACAUGCUAGUUGCACCAGCUUGAUUGAAAAGUAGGCGAGGCGAGAAAUUUACAUAUAAAACUAACAUAUCAGUAUACAGUAAGGCAUCAUAAUUCAUCCCGAUCUGCAGUGGGACAAAAGGCGCGUAUUUAGACAAUGGGUGCACCUACACCUAUGAGUCAAAGUAAAUUCUCCCUAGUUAAUCUUAAUAUAAACAUCGGUAAACAAAAUCAAAGGACCAAGAAAUCCAUCAACAUUCUAGCGGCAAAUUAACCUUUUCUCUUAUCCAUGUGUUUCCUCCUUUCAUGCACAUUUUUUCUGCCUUUCCAUGUGACAAAAGAAGAUGGAAAUCUUUGUGGGUGCCUAAGCUGGUUAUUUGAGUAGUUUGGCGUUAAUUUGGAGUUAGUUGGACAUUAGUUGUUCUUUCUUCAUGUGUGCUUUUAAUAAACAAUACAAUACAAAUUUGCUUGCAGUGCUAUAUAGUCCUCCGUUCCUAAAUAUAAGUCAUUUUAAAGUUUCCAGUAAGAAACUACAUACGGAUGUAUCUAGACAUAUAUUAAAGUGUAGUUUGAAUCAUUUUGCUUCGUAUGUAGUCUUCUAAUGAAAUAUCUAAAAAGACUUAUAUUUAAGAACGAAGGAAGUAUAUAUAUACUUACGGAGGGAAUCCAAUAUCUGGCUGUCGCUGCAACCGCUGCAGUACCAUGGAAACACGACAAAUUCUUCGCAAAUUCUUCCCGUUGCCUCCCUGUCCCUGGUCGAUGCACAUAUCAUCAAGAUAUGGAUAAUUGGUGUUAGGUUAGGGUAGGUUAGGUUAGAGAGGAACGGGGGCCGGGGCGGCGUAUGGUAGGGAACGAGGUGGAACAGUCGCGCAGAGAAGAUUUGAUAUGUGGG
rnacentral:lncRNA from 1 species